UAAAAUGUCCCACCCUAAUCGUUUAAUUCCAGCAUGAAUUGUUCCAACGGACACGGAGUCGGCCUAAAUCGUUCCAAAAUCAUAAAAAUCACUUCAAGCUGGACCCGUUGGCCUGCAGGAAGGAAAUGAAAUCCCGUGGCUGUGUGACAGAUUCAUUACAGGUUGAUAUCACGAACCAGAGAAGAAAGAGAGACGAAGAAGAACCGAGAGGUUUUGGGCGAUGACCGAUGAUGCGUGGGUUCAGUAGCAAUUUCACGAGGAGCCACGAACAUUGCUACGUACGUGUCCACGCCAAAAUCGAAAUCAAGUAGAAAGUUUUUAACUUCGGAAUGAUUCGAGCGCACAAUCACACGAAUUACCAGCGGCAUUGUUGGUACCAGCAGGAAGACCGACAUUAUUGUAUAAAUGUAAACUAGAAUGGAAAUAAACUACACCAAAGAUCGACGAAA